rnacentral:sRNA from 1 species
AGACAGGAGAGGACUAGAGAAAAGAAG